CUUACUGAACACCCUGUAUAAGUGCAUAUAUUCAUGUAAUUAAAAAAUAGUCAAUAGCUAUUCAGAAUUUAACACUGAUCAAUAAGAAUAAAAAUGAAGUUUUGGAUAUUGAUAUCAUUUUUGUUGAUUUUAUCCUGUGUGGUUUUUAAUGAAGUUUCAAUAUUUAAAGGUAAAAUUUACGAAGUUCUUCUAUAGUUUUAAACUAUGAAAGAUUUAAAACUAAUGUAGUAUAAUUUUCAACACAUGUAUUAAAUAUCACAUAUAUAUGAAUAAAGCAAAAAAUCAUCUAAGGAAUGUUUCCCUUUUAGGGUAAUAAAAAUAACUAUUUAUUACACUAAAACAGUGACAAUAAGGACUUAUUAGCAUGGAUUUGUAUAAAUACAGGAGAAUAAUAAAGGAAUACUUGGUCAUUGGACUACAGUUAAAUGUAUAUUAAUGAAACAAUCAAAAUUAAACAAACUUCAGUAAAUAUAUUCAAUUUAAGUAAUAAUUUGCUUUUUUAGAAAAAUUAUGACAAUGAUAGCUGUAUAACAAGAUAAAUUACCAUUAAAAAUAGCAACUUUGCACAAAGGUUUAAUUUUUAAAAACUAAAAAAGAAAUUUGUUCUGACGACAUGUGUUCUGUAUGUAAACGGUUCCCAAAAUUAGAUAUAAAAUACGCCCGUACUCAUGGAUGUGAUUGGGUUGAAGGUACAAUGAGAUUGGCUGCAGCGAAUGAACAUUUAGACUACAUUAAAUACGCUUAUGAAAAUGGUUGUAAGUGGGAUGAAGGCACAACAAGAGAAGCUGCUGCUAGUGGUCAUAUUGACUGUUUGAUAUAUGCACAUAGAAAUGGAUGUAAAUGGGAUGAAGGGACAAUGAGUGGAGAUGCUGCAAAUGGUCACUUAGACUGCCUAAAAUAUAGUCAUUUAAAUGGGUGUGUUUGGGACGAAGG